rnacentral:pre_miRNA from 1 species
ACUCAGGGGCUUCGCCACUGAUUGUCCAAACGCAAUUCUUGUACGAGUCUGCGGCCAACCGAGAAUUGUGGCUGGACAUCUGUGGUUGAGCUCC